rnacentral:rRNA from 1 species
UAGCGGCAGGCUUAACACAUGCAAGUCGAGGGGCAUCGGGAGUAGCAAUACUGCCGGCGACCGGCGCAAGGGUGCGUAACGCGUGAGCAACAUGCCCGUAUCAGGGGGAUAAUCCAUGGAAACGUGGUCUAAUACCCCAUAGUAAUUAUGUAAGGCAUCUUAUAUAAUUUAAAGCUUUGGUGGAUACGGAUUGGCUCGCGUGACAUUAGCUGGAUGGUAAGGUAACGGCUUACCAUGGCUACGAUGUCUAGGGGUUCUGAGAGGAAGGUCCCCCCACACUGGAACUGAGACACGGUCCAGACUCCUACGGGAGGCAGCAGUGAGGAAUAUUGGACAAUGGAUGGAAAUCUGAUCCAGCCAUGCCGCGUGCAAGGAAGACGGCCCUAUGGGUUGUAAACUGCUUUUGUAUGGGAGCAAUAAGGGCUACGUGUAGUCCGAUGAGAGUACCAUACGAAUAAGCACCGGCUAACUCCGUGCCAGCCGCCGC